UGAGGAAUAUUGGUCAAUGGGCGAGAGCCUGAACCAGCCAAGUCGCGUGAAGGAUGAAGGAUCUAUGGUUUGUAAACUUCUUUUAUAUGGGAAUAAAGUGAGGAACGUGUUCCUUUUUGUAUGUACCAUAUGAAUAAGCAUCGGCUAACUCCGUGCCAGCAGCCGCGGUAAUACGGAGGAUCCGAGCGUUAUCCGGAUUUAUUGGGUUUAAAGGGAGCGUAGAUGGAUAUUUAAGUCAGUUGUGAAAGUUUGCGGCUCAACCGUAAAAUUGCAGUUGAUACUGGAUAUCUUGAGUGCAGUUGAGGCAGGCGGAAUUCGUGGUGUAGCGGUGAAAUGCUUAGAUAUCACGAAGAACUCCGAUUGCGAAGGCAGCCUGCUAAGCUGCAACUGACAUUGAGGCUCGAAAGUGUGGGUAUCAAGCAGGAUUAGAUACC
rnacentral:rRNA from 1 species